GUGGGGAAUUUUGGACAAUGGGCGAAAGCCUGAUCCAGCAAUGCCGCGUGUGUGAAGAAGGCCUUCGGGUUGUAAAGCACUUUUGUCCGGAAAGAAAUCUGUCUGGCUAAUACCCGGACGGGAUGACGGUACCGGAAGAAUAAGCACCGGCUAACUACGUGCCAGCAGCCGCGGUAAUACGUAGGGUGCGAGCGUUAAUCGGAAUUACUGGGCGUAAAGCGUGCGCAGGCGGUUUUGUAAGACCGAUGUGAAAUCCCCGGGCUUAACCUGGGAACUGCAUUGGUGACUGCAAGGCUAGAGUGCGUCAGAGGGGGGUGGAAUUCCGCGUGUAGCAGUGAAAUGCGUAGAGAUGCGGAGGAACACCGAUGGCGAAGGCAGCCCCCUGGGAUGACACUGACGCUCAUGCACGAAAGCGUGGGGAGCAAACAGGAUUAGAAACCCCUGUAGUCC
rnacentral:rRNA from 1 species